rnacentral:rRNA from 1 species
GAUGAACGCUGGCGGCGUGCCUAAUACAUGCAAGUCGAGCGAACAGACGAGGAGCUUGCUCCUCUGACGUUAGCGGCGGACGGGUGAGUAACACGUGGAUAACCUACCUAUAAGACUGGGAUAACUUCGGGAAACCGGAGCUAAUACCGGAUAAUAUAUUGAACCGCAUGGUUCAAUAGUGAAAGACGGUUUUGCUGUCACUUAUAGAUGGAUCCGCGCCGCAUUAGCUAGUUGGUAAGGUAACGGCUUACCAAGGCAACGAUGCGUAGCCGACCUGUGAGGGUGAUCGGCCACACUGGAACUGAGACACGGUCCAGACUCCUACGAAAGGCAGCAGUAGGGAAUCUUCCACAAUGGGCGAAAGCCUGACGGAGCAACGCCGCGUGAGUGAUGAAGGUCUUCGGAUCGUAAAACUCUGUUAUUAGGGAAGAACAAAUGUGUAAGUAACUAUGCACGUCUUGACGGUACCUAAUCAGAAAGCCACGGCUAACUACGUG